rnacentral:lncRNA from 1 species
GAGUCGGUUUAAACUUGAGAAUCCAAGUUGCCAUGAACUCGAUCGAGAAGAUAGAGUUAGUGCAAACUUGAGAAACUCGAGCUCUAACCCGCUCGAAAAACCUCUCUCCUAGGACUAGGAGGAGACAAGAGCCAAAACCCUAAGCAUAAUUAUUAUUCCGUGAAAAACAUGGCCUCUCGAUACGGAAAAAAGGAAGGGCGACCGGCGAAAGAAGUGGCAAAGCAAGUGUCGACGAGGGGGGAGGGCGAAGGAGAUGGAUGAAUGAAAAGAAGGGUGGGGAGGAAAGACAUGAGCUAGGUAACAAAAUUAAAUCAAUAACAAAUCAAUUUGGGUUUUGAAGGAAAAAAAUAUGAAUUUUUUAUCACUAUUCUUUAUGUUUUUUUUUUAAAAACUAAAAUCUUCAUUCCUCAGGAAUGCUUUGAAGCUCAGGGCUCCAACAAUGGCGGCUCUUCUUUUUAAUUGCAUUAGACCUUAAAAGCUGCUUCUUUCGCAAAAGAUUCAAGCGUUCUUCAACAGAAAUCGAAGGUGGUGAUGAUUGGUAAUAAUAAUUAUUAUUAUUCUUACCAGUACCACCAUUGAUUAUCCCCAGCAUUUGCCUCAAAUCUUGCUUCUUCACUACAAUCUUCACCCUCAAAGUACCAUUUUCGUGGAUAUGAGAGACGACACCACCUCCACGAUUGUUGCUAGCAUUCGCAAUGGCUUCCAGCAAGUAACUAUUAUUACUACUUCUUGUUAGAGAUUUCUGGUUUCGACUUUUUGAUUGUUUGAAUUCUCUCUUCGGUGAUGCUUUUCCUUCCAUUUCUUUUUUCAAUGUCGAAGAAUUAACGUUUAAUGCUUA